UACAGGGGUCCCAAGCGUUGUUCGGAUUCAUUGGGCGUAAAGGGUGCGUAGGCGGCGCCGUAAGUCGGGUGUGAAAUUUCGGAGCUUAACUCCGCAACUGCAUUCGAUACUGCGGUGCUUGAGGACUGGAGAGGAGACUGGAAUUCAUGGUGUAGCGGUGAAAUGCGUAGAGAUGAUGAGGAAGACCAGUGGCGAAGGCGGGUCUCUGGACAGUUACUGACGCUGAGGCACGAAAGCGAGGGGAGCAAACGGG
rnacentral:rRNA from 1 species